rnacentral:rRNA from 1 species
GUGGGGAAUAUUGGACAAUGGGCGCAAGCCUGAUCCAGCCAUGCCGCGUGAGUGAUGAAGGCCCUAGGGUUGUAAAGCUCUUUCACCGGAGAAGAUAAUGACGGUAUCCGGAGAAGAAGCCCCGGCUAACUUCGUGCCAGCAGCCGCGGUAAUACGAAGGGGGCUAGCGUUGUUCGGAAUUACUGGGCGUAAAGCGCACGUAGGCGGACAUUUAAGUCAGGGGUGAAAUCCCGGAGCUCAACUCCGGAACUGCCUUUGAUACUGGGUGUCUGGAGUAUGGAAGAGGUGAGUGGAAUUCCGAGUGUAGAGGUGAAAUUCGUAGAUAUUCGGAGGAACACCAGUGGCGAAGGCGGCUCACUGGCCCGUUACUGACGCUGAGGCGCGAAAGCGUGGGGAGCAAACAGGAUUAGAAACCCUGGUAGUCC